rnacentral:rRNA from 1 species
AGAACGAACGCUGGCGGCAGGCUUAACACAUGCAAGUCGAACGCUCCACAAGGAGAGUGGCAGACGGGUGAGUAACACGUGGGAACGUACCCUUUACUACGGAACAACUCCGGGAAACUGGAGCUAAUACCGUAUGUGCCCUUCGGGGAAAGAUUUAUCGGUAAAGGAUCGGCCCGCGUUGGAUUAGCUAGUUGGUGGGGUAAAGGCCUACCAAGGCGACGAUCCAUAGCUGGUCUGAGAGGAUGAUCAGCCACAUUGGGACUGAGACACGGCCCAAACUCC